rnacentral:lncRNA from 11 species
CUUGACCUGAAAAUCUGAAAUGAUUGCAUCAUAGGAACUAAAAUAGCUGCUUGGUGUUCAAAAGAAGCAAGUCUGCCUGAAUUUAGUCUUUGAGCUGCUUUCUAGUCCCAGGAAAACAAUUCAAAGUUGAAGAACUCACAAACUAGGUGGUAUCACUUCCAUCCAGAUUUAUGUCAAGCGGAAGGUCUUCCAAAAAAUGCCACACUUGCUCGCAUGCAGACUGAUCCUAUGCCUGUUUAUGCAGUGGGAUGUUGCAUGAAUAAAAAUAUUUACACAGGAGAAGAAGUUUAACGGGACUUGCUUCUGCGUAAGAAAGAGAAUACUAUAAACAACAUCUGCAGCUCACAUGGAAUGAGAUGCCUUAUUCCUAUGUUUAGGAAAUAUGCUUACUGAAACCAUUCUUGGUACAGAUGUUUAAUCUGACCAUUACGUCUGAUAUUAAAUCUUCUCAGACGUGAAGAACCAUCAUGAUCAGUUCUUGUUUACAAUAAGCUACAAGCUCUGGAAGUCGUAUUUGUAAGUCUCAUCCAGACAAUACAGAGAUGCCAA